rnacentral:rRNA from 1 species
GACGAACGCUGGCGGCGUGCCUAAUACAUGCCAGUUGAGCGCUGAAGGUUGGUACUUGUACCGACUGGAUGAGCAGCGAACGGGUGAGUAACGCGUGGGGAAUCUGCCUUUGAGCGGGGGACAACAUUUGGAAACGAAUGCUAAUACCGCAUAAAAACUUUAAACACAAGUUUUAAGUUUGAAAGAUGCAAUUGCAUCACUCAAAGAUGAUCCCGCGUUGUAUUAGCUAGUUGGUGAGGUAAAGGCUCACCAAGGCGAUGAUACAUAGCCGACCUGAGAGGGUGAUCGGCCACAUUGGGACUGAGACACGGCCCAAACUCCUACGGGAGGCAGCAGUAGGGAAUCUUCGGCAAUGGACGAAAGUCUGACCGGGCAACGCCGCGUGAGUGAAGAAGGGUUUCGGAUCGUAAAACUCUGUUGGUAGAGAAGAACGUUGGUGAGAGUGGAAAGCUCAUCAAGUGACGGUAACUACCCAGAAAGGGACGGCUAACUACGUG